GAUAGUCACGUACUACGAUGUAUAUUGCACAUCCCUGAAAUUUUCUUCGCGUGCGUGUCUGACGAGCUGUAGUUUUGCAUUUUUUUUUUGUAAAUUUAAUUAAACUUGCGCCAAAUAUGGCAAACACACCGCAAGUAGUCAAAUUAGAGGAUACCGCCGAAGAGCCCGAGAUAUUCGAAAUCAAAGACGAAGAUGACAUUUGUGAAUUGGAGCACUUGCGCAAGCUGUUUAUUGGCGGCCUGGCGCCCUACACCACAGAGGAGGGCCUCAAAGUGUUCUAUUCCCAGUGGGGCAAGGUGGUCGAUGUUGUUGUGAUGCGAGAUGCCGCCACUAAGCGUUCACGUGGCUUUGGGUUUAUAACCUAUACAAAGUCCGCCAUGGUAGAUACUGCGCAAGAGAACCGACCGCAUAUCAUUGACGGCAAAACUGUGGAGGCAAAACGCGCUCUGCCGCGUCCGGAGCGUGAGACACGUGAAACGAACAUAUCGGUUAAAAAGCUGUUCGUCGGCGGUCUAAAGGACAAUCACGAUGAGGAUUGCCUGCGCGAAUAUUUCCUGCAAUUCGGCAAUGUGGUGUCCGUGAAAUUGCUCACAGACAAAACUACCGGCAAGCGUCGAGGCUUUGCCUUUAUCGAGUUCGAUGACUACGAUGCCGUAGACAAGGCGAUACUUCAAAGACAGCACUCGAUUAAAUACGUGCUCGUCGACGUUAAAAAGUCCAUAUACAAUCUGGAAAAGAAAGACAGAAUGGCACAGGGCGCCACAGCCAACGGCAACAAGAUGCCGCAGCAGCAGCAGCCGCCGCCUAAAACUAACAUGCCCCCAACUGGCUACCGUCCCCAAGUGCCUCCGCCGCAGCAAAUGCCGCCGUAUCAGCAUCAACCGCCGCCGCCACCCAUGACCGCUCCGCCACCAAACUACAACUAUUGGGGGCCACCGCCGCCCAUGCAGCCUUAUUACCAGCAGCCGCCGCCGCCUCAAAUGAAUGCGUGGAAUGCUUAUCCGCCUGCGCAGAAUGGCUGGAAUGCACCACCGCCUCCACCACCCGGUGCUCAGCAGUGGCAUGCCAACCAGUGGGGCGGCCCGCCGGCGGUACAGCCGCCAACACCUGGCGUGCCACCGGCUGGUCAUCAUCGCAGCGGUCCACCGCCGCAAGUGGUGGGCAACUGGAAUAUGCCGCCGUCUGGGGCACCACCAGUACCUGGUUCCAUGCCGGUAACACAGGGCCCGCCACCCCAUCAGCCGCCACCACCACAGCAGCAACAGCCACCGCCGCCAAACUUUGGCAGCGGCUAUCAACAAAACUAUGGCGGUGGCCCAACUAAACACAACAACAUGAAUGGCAACCGCAUGAAUCCGUACGCUGCACCACCCAGCAGCUAUCACAACGCGCAGCCACCAGCACCCGGCUAUGCGCCCUACAAUGCCGCAGCUCCGCCGCCCAGUGGCGGUGGUCCACCCUCGGGACCCGUACCUAAGAAUAUUUCAAAUGGAUCGGUGGCCACCGGGGGCAGCGCGAACAGCAAAUAUCGCCGUUAGUCGGGAUGCCUUUUUGUGUGUGCCUUAAAAGCAGCACAAAAGCUCAGAAUUCAAGAUACAAAUACAGAUACUGAUACUGAUAAAUAGGCUCGUAGUAAGCUAGGACACACACUCGCUUAGUAACUUAAAAACAGGAUAAAUAUAAUAUAUUAACUGCGUUGUCUCUCUCUCACUAUAUAUAUAAAUAUAUAUAUAUAUACGUUUAUAUCUAACUGAGCGUACGGCAACAACUAACUAAAGUUUUUAACUCCUUAACUUAAGCUCUAAUGUUAUUUAUUGAACGAUUGAUAUCCAUCUAUGUUUGUAUUUAAGCGAUACUCGGCCUAUUAAUAAGACAAAUAUUUGAUACAACUCUGAGUUGUAGCGAAAGUCGUUUCAUUUUAUUUACUGUUAACUUGCCAUGCAUAAUUUUCUCUCCAAAAAAAAAAAAACUAAGUUAUUAUAAUACAAAUUGUAAACCCAAAUUAGAACUUAACCAACUAGUGCUCUCUUAUUCUCUCUUCAUAUUAGAAUUAUUUAUGCCUAAAAUGUAAUUCCAGUCUAUAAAUACAAACGAAGUAGAGUGCCCGUGCCCGUGCGUAGCUCAGCAUUAGAACACCGUAAACGUGUAUUUUUGUAAACGAAUUAGACUUUAACGAAAACCUUUAGCAGCCGAGCUUAUAUAGAGCUAGUUUGCACAGCUCUCGUAUAUAUUAUAAUUAAUAGACGCCUUAAUACUCGUAAAACCAAAAAAAAAAGAAGUCAACUUGGCCGACGAGCAAAAUACCAAAUGAAGAAAUUAAAAGAUACGUCCAAGUAAUAUGUAACAUUCAAUCAAAUCGAAAGGCUGUUGAGCAACGCACGGCUGCGCACAUCAAGUAAUAAUAUAUGAUAUAAAAUAGAAAAGUUUAAUACUGUAGCCAUAUAAAUAAUUCUAUCCAAAUUACUGUCAAUUUGUAUAAACAUAAAUGUAUAUAAAUAUAUAUAUACAUAUAUAUAUAUAUAUAUAUAUAUACGUAUAUGACUGUACGCUCUACUUAAAUUUAUCAUUAAGUUGUAAACGGUUUCCUCACACUCAAAACUCAAUUUGCAAUUGCUGCAAAUCGAUCGAAUGCCCACAAUAUUCAAAUGCUGCACAUUUAGCAGUUUAUAUGUGUAGAGCCAAUCUUUAGAUAAUGCUUUACAGAUUCAAAAUACGAUUACUUUUUAUUAUUCAAAAUAUUUAAAGAACAAAAGAGACGAACGUUGAAGGAACGGCUGAUUUGUUAUUGUGCGACAAUUAUGUGUUUAAUAGCAAAAAAUUUCAAAAUACAAAAUAUUAAUGGAUUUAUGUGCUUGUAAUCAGCCACGACAUGAACUCUAAGUUUAGCAUUAAUUUAUAAAUAAUAUAGAUGUUGCUGCUAUAUCUUGAUAUGUAUAUGGAUAUGUUUAGGUUUUGUAGCGCACGCCAAAGGCUUUAACGAUUACGAUUUCAGUUUAUAUUUUAACAAUAUGAUAUACUAUGUAUUAGAUUAUGCAAGGCCUAACUAAGAGAGUCCCUAAUUUGCCAGUUUAAUAUAGCUCUACACAAUAUAACUUACUAUAUAAUUAUUAUAUAUACAUUUAUGAAAAACAAGUUUCAUUAUAUUUAUUUUUAAAUAAAUAAAUUCUUAAAACCCACACUAUGUAUCUUAAUAUUUACUUGAGCUGUGCCCUAGCUGCAAUAUUAAGUAAGUCUUUGCGGAUAACUAAGUACUUAAAGUUCUACUUAGCCAACAAUCUAUUUAAUUAACAAUUAAAUUUAGUUAAACUUAUGCCUAUGCAGCUCUAGAAACAAGUGCAAGCAGCAGUUAUUGUCUCUCUAAAUAUAUAUUUAUAUGAUUUUUAUUGUAUGUUUUCGCGGGCUUGCGUCAAGCUUUUUAAGGUAAGUUAGUGGAACCUUAUUAACUAACUAGUCUAGAUGAAUGCUUAAGUACCGCUAUCUAUACGUAUUUAGCACACAAAAAACACUUAAAUGCAGCAUUUCUAAAAUUACCAAAUCCCUAUUUCUUUCCACACAACACACAAGAAACAAAACCCCACUAAAGCACUUCCGGAUGCACUGAGACAACAAAGUAUCUAGAUUUCGAUCCAUCGCCAACAAGUUGGCGAGCCCAAUGCCAUGUUGUGCGCGCCUGUGCUCCAGUUAAGCGAUAUGUGUGGAC